rnacentral:rRNA from 1 species
ACGUAGGGGGCGAGCGUUAUUCGGAAUUACUGGGUGUAAAGGGUAUGUAGGCGGCCCUUCAAGUCGCGUGUCAAAGUCCAGUGCUCAACGCUGGGAGUGCGCGCGAUACUGACGGGCUUGAGGGCUGGAGAGGUGAGCGGAAUUCCCGGUGUAGUGGUGAAAUGCGUAGAGAUCGGGAGGAACACCGGCGGCGAAGGCGGCUCACUAGGCAGUAUCUGACGCUAAGAUGCGAAAGCGUGGGGAGCAAACAG